CCUACGGGUGACAGCAGUGGGGAAUAUUGGGCAAUGGGCGAAAGCCUGACCCAGCAACGUCGCGUGAAGGAAGAAGGCUCUCUGGUUGUAAACUUCUUUUGACAGGGAAGUGCAGAAGACCGUACCUGUCGAAUAAGCCAUGGCUUAUUACGUUCCAGCAGCCGCGGUCAUACGUAGGUGGCAAGCGUUGUCCGGAUGUACUGGGUGUAAAGGGCGUGUAGGCGGGCUCACAAGUCAGAGGUGAAAUCCGGGUGCUCAACCCCCGAACUGCCUUUGAAACUGUUGGUCUUGAGUAUCGGUGGGGCACAUGGAAGUCGUAGUGUAGCGGUGAAAUGCGUAGAUAUUAGGCAGAACUCCAGUGGCGAAGGCAGCCUGCUGGACGACCACUGACGGUGAGGCGCGAAAGCGUGGGGAGCAAACAGGAUUAGAUACCCCAGUAGUC
rnacentral:rRNA from 1 species